GAUGAACGCUGGCGGCGUGCCUAAUACAUGCAAGUCGAGCGAACAGACGAGGAGCUUGCUCCUCUGACGUUAGCGGCGGACGGGUGAGUAACACGUGGAUAACCUACCUAUAAGACUGGGAUAACUUCGGGAAACCGGAGCUAAUACCGGAUAAUAUAUUGAACCGCAUGGUUCAAUAGUGAAAGACGGUUUUGCUGUCACUUAUAGAUGGAUCCGCGCCGCAUUAGCUAGUUGGUAAGGUAACGGCUUACCAAGGCAACGAUGCGUAGCCGACCUGAGAGGGGUGAGGGGCAACACGAGAGUUGGACCAGGGUCAGGAGCCAGCGGGGAGGCACAAGUGGGAAUUCUGCCGAAAGGGGGAAGGCCCGGACGGAGCAGCUCCGGGGGAGGAAUAAGGGUCUACGGAACGAAAAACUCUUUUAUUGGGAAAAAAAAAAUGUGAAAGUAACAAGGCAUGUCUGGAGGGUCCCAAAUCAGAAAGCCAGGGCUAACUACGUG
rnacentral:rRNA from 1 species